UCCGGUUGAUCCUGCCAGAGGCUACUGCCAUCAGAGUUCGAUUAAGCCAUGUUAGUCGAGGGUGCUUCUUCUUCGGAAGGGGUAACCGGCAGACGGCUCAGUAACACGUGGACAACUUACCCUUGGGACCGGGAUAACCCCUGGGAAACUGGGGCUAAUACCGGAUAGAGCAUCGGUUGCUGGAAUGCACGAUGGUCUAAAGCUGAGGCGCCCAAGGAUAGGUCUGCGGCCGAUUAGGUUGUUGUUGAUGUAACGGAUCAACAAGCCUACGAUCGGUACGGGUUGUGAGAGCAAUAGCCCGGAGAUGGGUUCUGAGAGAAGAACCCAGGUCCUACGGGACGCAUCAGGCGCGAAAACUUUACAAUGUGCGAAAGCACGAUAAGGGAACUCUGAGUGCCUCCUAAGGAGGCUGUUCGGGUGUCUAAAAAGCAUCUGAAGGAAGGGCUGGGUAAGACCGGUGCCAGCCGCCGCGGUAACACCGGCAGCCCAAGUGGUAGCCACGCUUAUUGGGUCUAAAGCGUCCGUAGCCGGGCCAAGUAAGUUCUUUGGGAAAUUUGACCGCUUAACGGGUCAAGCUAUCAGGGAAUACUGCUUGGCUUGGGGACCGGGAGAGGUCAGAGGUACUCCAAGGGUAGGGGUGAAAUCCGUUAAUCCUUGGGGGACCACCGGUAGCGAAGGCGUCUGACCAGACCGGGUCCGACGGUGAGGGACGAAGGCUAGGGUCGCGAACCGGAUUAGAUACCCGGGUAGUCCUAGCUGUAAACGAUGCGGGCCAGGUGUUGGCAUUACUGCGAGUGAUGCCAGUGCCGAAGGGAAGCCGUUAAGCCCGCCAUCUGGGGAGUACGGUCGCAAGGCUGAAACUUAAAGGAAUUGGCGGGGGAGCAC
rnacentral:rRNA from 1 species